rnacentral:rRNA from 1 species
AUUGAACGCUAGCGGCAGGCCUAACACAUGCAAGUCGAACGAGUGGCGGACGGGUGAGUAAUGUCUGGGAAACUGCCUGGUGGCGGGGGAUAAAUACUGGAAACGGUAGCUAAUACAGCAUACCAUCGGAUGUGCCCAGAUGGGAUUAGAUAGUAGGUGGGGUAACGGCUCACCAAGGCGACGAUCCCUAGCUGGUCUGAGAGGAUGACCAGCCACACUGGAACUGAGACACGGUCCAGACUCCUACGGGAGGCAGCAGUGGGGAAUAUUGCACAAUGGGCGCAAGCCUGAUGCAGCCAUGCCGCGUGUAUGAAGAAGGCCUUCGGGUUGUAAAGUACUUUCAGCGGGGAGGCGUUACCCGCAGAAGAAGCACCGGCUAACUCCGUGCCAGCAGCCGCGGUAAUUC